CGACACACAACAGUGAAGUCGUCGUACUCUAUUUUACCCGACUUGUUCACAUCACAGGCGGAAAAUAGUCUCCGAAGACUGGCUCAAGGCUCCUUGAAUGGAAGGCCUAGGCACUGUGGUGAAGUCCUUUGGGCCUGCAGAAGAUGAUGCUGGUGCAGAACGAAGAUCGGAGACCUCAGAACAAGACAGAAAGUCUCCACCGAUCAGCCUCCAUGCGUACGCGGCACCCCCGGGUCUCAGUUGAGAUCUGUGAAGAAUUAGGGAACAACAUUUAAAUUAGUGCUUUGUAUGAGCAAAUGUGUUGGGUUUUUUACUGAUCUGGAGAGAGAAGUAGAUUAAUCGAUUUGGUAAACGACUUUGAGAAUUGAUUCAUUGUUUUCAUUCUGCUGCUUUUCUUCAGUAGAUACUAUUUAAUAGUAAAUUAUUUUCGAAACAGCAAAAACAAACAUUUGAGGAUGUCCCUUCCGAUAUAUUAGCAAUCUAUAAUGCUUUUUUAAUUAUUUGGUACAAUUUUCAAAAUGUACAAUGCACAAUUUCUUUAUCAUUCGAAGGAAUAUUAGCAGAUUGAUAACGACAAUUAUCGUUGUACCAUCAUACGCACCAUCCUGUCGCAGCUGAAGGGCACUAUGUUAAAAAUAUGUCUUUCCAUGCCACAGUGUGCUGCAAGUCUUUCUCAUGACAACAAUACAAAACAAUCCACAUUAUAUUUGGCAGUUGGAGUGUCAAAAGACUAAAAGAAACUCAUCUGUGGGGCUCAGGAUGACCUUUAACCUCUCCAAACUACAGAUAUGAGGUUAUGUAGAACUGAUUUUAGUUUCUGUUCAGAGAAAUGAGCAAUAGAUAUGCGUUUACUGAUCAUUCACAGAAAAAACUAUAUGAAUGGGCUUUGCUGCAGGACGUGUUUGAGCACAAUGCUCCGGUCAGGUUAUUUGAUAGUGUCGGGUUCUGACAAAACACCCUUACACUCCCAAAUCUUCUUAUCUGAUCUGCACGUAGCUGCUGUUUUGUGCACUGAGCAGGAAAGGGAAGACAUUUCUUGGAAAUCUUUGUUCGAGCUCAAAGACAAUGAAGAGGUGUGACACCCCAAUACAGCUCAUAUCAUGUGAAAUAGAGGAGUUUCUGUCUCAGUUGUCCUCGGUUGAACCUCAGUUAAAUUACUGAGUGUUGACACAAAAUAUCCACUAAUACUGUGAGAUGUUUUGACACCCAGAGGUCAUCCAGGGCUUGAGUUCUGAAUGCUUUAACUUGCAAAUAGGAAUUUAUGGACAAAGGUGUCCAAAGAAAAAAGGAAAUUGGUUUAAAUUUGUAUAGGCCUGCUGCUCAGUUUUCCUCAAAUCAAAAAAGAUCCCUACAGAUUCACUUUUAGGUUUUUUUGCCAUGUAAAUGGACACUGGCCCACUCCUGUAUCCACAGCUUCUUUAACAAUUCUUUAGAAAACAUCAGAACAAAGCCGCAAGACAACUAUGAUACCAAUAAUGCUGAUUAAAAGCGAGACGUGAAGGGGAAUUCAAUACAGACAUCCCUGUUAAAGUAGAUAUCACUCCCUAACAGCUGCCAGAGGGAGCUCCUCAUUAAAUUCAACCAACAGGAGAUUCAGUUUCAUGUGAGGUAGCCUAUGGCAAUCAAAAGUGAAAGGUAGUGAGAGAAGCUAUUCCUGGUUUCUAUGACGAGGCUUCUGACUCUUAGUCAAUAAGCAGUCUGAUGCUUGUUGCAAAAACUGACAUCUCCAAAUCUGAGCUGGAAAGAUAACAUUUGAAGGAGCAGGAAGGCCAUAAGGGAGGCCAGAGAACAAGACAGAAAGGGUUAUUUCUACAGCAGUUAGGACACACAUUAUUUGUGAAUUUGAGAAACACAGGCAGAGAUACUUUCUUCUGUCAAUUUAGUCUCCAAAAGGAUGAAUAACACUUACUGGACAAAUGGUGUCUUGUUCCUCUGAGUUAAGUGGUUUGAAAUAGGCUAAAACUCUAAAACGAAAUAGAAUCAAGUAUGUCUGGACAUUGAAGAAUGUCAACCUCCAGCCACGAGAACGGGCAUCUUAAUGGUCAUGAGGAGCAAAGCAGACAAGGUUACAAGCUUCUGCUUUUAAACCAUUCGGUCACUGUCUGAAGCCGCCGUGAUGUCAGUGGACUAUAACGUGUAAUAGACGAGGAGGGUGGCCGCAUGCAUCAUUAACAUCCUUUGUGUGGAACAAUUAAAAAUGAGACACCACUUGUGAAGCUCACAUUAAUACUGAGUCUGUGUGACAGUCAGAAAAAGAGGCCUGCAUGCAUCAAACUGAAUCCAACUGAGGUACAUGGAGAGAGCUCGACUGAGAGAACAAGGGCCCCUCUGACAGCCCCGAAAUCUAUAUGCAACUCUGCACUUCACUGCUCUCUCCUGCAUGACGCAUGAACUGAAUCAUCCCUUUCACUCUCUACACAGAUGUGCUAGUGUGCUCUGGCUAUGGAUGAUACUCUCCCAUCUCUCUGUCUAUGAUCUCCUCCAUAAAUUGUUCCAUGGUUUCCUUCGAUAUCCCCUCCAGCAACAUAUAUGCCUUAUCAGACCAGUUUGACAUAAUCAUUACUCAUGUCAAACUUGUACCACAGAUAUUAAAACAUUGAGGCGCUAAUCAAAAGCACAGAUUUGGUUUUAGUCGUUUCAAACCAAUUAUUGUCACAGAAGCUUUGAUAGAUGCUCAGUAGUGACUUUACAUCCGGGUAAUACAAUUAUACAUUGUCAUCUUCAAAUAAAAACAGAUUUUUUUUCAAACAUGCAAUGGAGGGUGAACGGUUUUCUACAUUUUGAGGAAGGUCCACAGAGUUUGCCUGUCAAGCUGACCAACCCCAACACCCUCCAUCAAUCAGAGGGUUUGGGCAGCCUGCAUGUGGCAGGAGAGGAGAAACCUGGGGCAAAGAAAGUUCAACAGGCACUCGCCACUGCUCACAAAGCUUGUGUUGCUGUAAGUUCAGGCUAAUGAUUGAAGAAUGUAUCAAUAUUUGUUGAAGUGGGGGGGAAAGAGUGGAAACCAAAGUUUGAAACUGAAUAUUUAGCUGUUGAAUGGAAAAUAAAGUUGUCCCUUUCUGACUGGCGGGCCAUUUGCUCACUAGCCCAUGAUGCAUAAAAGCAAUAGUUUUGAUAGUC